rnacentral:rRNA from 1 species
ACGCGUGAGAACAUGCCUAUCGAUUGGGGACAACAGUUGGAAACGACUGCUAAUACCGAAUGUGCCUUAGGGUGAAAGAUUUAUCGUCGAUAGAUUGGCUCGCGUCAGAUUAGCUAGUUGGUGAGGUAAAGGCUCACCAAGGCGACGAUCUGUAACUGGUCUGAGAGGAUGACCAGUCACACUGGAACUGAGACACGGUCCAGACUCCUACGGGAGGCAGCAGUGGGGAAUUUUCCGCAAUGGGCGAAAGCCUGACGGAGCAAUACCGCGUGUGGGAGGACGCUUUUUGGAGUGUAAACCACUUUUAUUAGGGAAGAAGAACUGACGGUACCUAAUGAAUCAGCAUCGGCUAACUCCGUGCCAGCAGCCGCGGUAAUACGGGGGAUGCAAGCGUUAUCCGGAAUUAUUGGGCGUAAAGCGUCCGUAGGUGGCUUAUCAAGUCUGUUGUCAAAGCGUGCGGCUCAACCGCAUACGGGCGAUGGAAACUGAUGAGCUAGAGUGCGAUAGGGGUCAGGGGAAUUCCCGGUGUAGCGGUGAAAUGCGUAGAUAUCGGGAAGAACACCAGUGGCGAAAGCGCCUGACUGGGUCUGCACUGACACUGAGGGACGAAAGCUAGGGGAGCGAAAGGGAUUAGAUACCCCU